ensembl:lncRNA
UGCAUUUUUUGCAAGGAAGGAUGCAUUUGCACGAUGCAGUGCAUGCAUUUUGCAAGACGGGUGCAUUUGCUUGUUGUGGUGCAUGCAUUUUUUGCAAGGGAGGAUGCAUUUUGCAUGGUGUAAUGCAUGCAUUUAGCAAGACGAGUGCAUUUGCUUGUUGUAAUGCAUGCAUUUCUUGCAAGGGAGGAUGCAUUUGCACGAUGCAGUGCAUGCAUUUUGCAAGACGGGUGCAUUUGUUUGUUGUAAUGCAUGCAUUUCUUGCAAGGGAGGAUGCAUUUGCGUGCUGUUUGCAUGCAUUAUUUUGCAAGGGAGGGUCCUUUGCAUGUUGUAAUGCAUGAAUUUUUGCAAGGGAGGAUGCAUUUGCGUGAUGCAGUGCAUGCAUUUUGCUAAGGGGGGGAUGCAGUUGCACGCAGUUUGCAGCAGCAAAAACCUGAUGGUGUUUUUUCCCUUUUUUCCCUGCCUUUUUCCUCUCAUUUCCUCCCCCCCCUUUAUUUCCCUUUCUUCCUUUUUAUUUCUCUUUUUCCUCUUUUCUUCCUCCUUUGCUUUCCUGCUUUUUCUCUUUGCUUUUCUGCUUUUCUUCCCGUUCCUGCUUUUUCCUUUUCCCUUUUUCCUUCCUUUUCCUCUUCCGUUCUUUUUCCUUUUGAAUUUCCCCCCUCUUUUUCCUCUUCUCCCCUCUUCCUCCUUCCGCUUCCCCCACGCCUCCUCCUUCCUUCCCCCUUCCCCUCCUCUUCCUUCCCUUUUCCCUUUUCCCCAAUCCCUCUUCCCCCAUCCCUUUUCCCCCUUUCCUUUUUCCCUUUCCCUUCCUCCUCCCUGCUUCCCCUUUCCCUUUCUCCCUUCCCUUCCUCCCCCUCCCCUCUUCCUCCUUCCCUUUUUCCUCCUUCACCUCCCUUCCCUCUUUUCCUUCAUUUCCUCCUCUUUCCCCUAUUUUGCCCCCCUCUCCUUCCUUCUCCUCCUUCUCACCCCUUCCCUUCCUCCCCCUCCCCUCUUCCUCCUUCCCUUUUUCCUCCUUCACCUCCCUUUCCCCUUUGCCUUCAUCUCCUCCUCUUUCCUUUCCCCCAUUCCCCCUCCUCCCCCUUCUCCCCCCCACCUCCCACAGCCCUCUCCUGCCCCGUGGGCACCCAACCCCAGCUCUGCAGCCCCCUCUGCUCCCAAAGCUGCACCAGCCUCUCCUCCCCCCCCCAGUGCAGCACCCACUGCUUCGAGGGCUGUGCAUGCCCAGCAGGAGAGCUGUACAACGGCGAUGAAUGCGUCACCCCCGACGCCUGCGGCUGCCUGCACCGCGGCCGCUUCUUCCAGGUGAGGCUCUGCUGCUUUGCAACACCUGCAGUGGGGGAGGAAGGGGGUGAGGGGGGCACAGGGUGCACGCGUUUCCCAUUUUGCACCCUUUGCAGAGCACCAACCCAUUGCAGUUUGCAUUUGCUUCCAUCGUUUCGACGGUUGCGGAGCACCCACUCAUUGCGCUUCCCAUUUCCUUCCACUUUUGCAACUUUUGCAGAGCACCAACCCAUUGCACUUUGCAUUUCCUUCCACUUUUACCACCUUAGCAAAGCACCACUCCGUUGCACUUUGCAUUUCCUUCCACUUUUCCAACCUUUUCAGGACAACAACCACUUGCACUUUGCAUUUCCUUCCCUUUUUGCACCCUUUUACCACCUUUGCAAAGCACCCACUCAUUGCACACAGCAUUUUCUUCCAUUGUUUCCACCUUUGCAGAGCACCAACCCACUGCACUUUGCAUUUGUUUCCACUUUUACCACCUUUGCAAAGCUCCCACCCACUGCACUUUGCGUUUACUUCCAUCGUUUCCACCCUUGCGGAGCACCCACCCAUUGCACUUCCCAUUUCCUUCCACUUUUGCACCCUUUGCAGAGCACCAACCCAUUGCACUUCCCAUUUCCUUCCACUUCUGCACCCUUUACAAGACAGCAACCCACUGCACUUUGCAUUUCCUUCCACUUUUGCAACCUUUUCAGGGCACCAACCCAUUGCACUUUGCAUUUCCUUCCACUUUUACUACCUUAGCAAAGCACCAACCCAUUGCACUUUGCAUUUCCUUCCACUUUUGCAACCUUUUCAGGACAGCAACCCAUUGCACUUUGCAUUUCCUUCCACUUCUGCACCCUUUGCAAGACAGCAACCUAUUGCAUGCUGCAUUUCCUUCCAUUUUUGCACCCUUUGCAAGACAGCAACCCAUUGCACUUUGCAUUUCCUUCCACUUUUACCACCUUAGCAGAGCACCAACCCAUUGCACUUUGCAUUGCCUUCCACUUUUACCACCUUAGCAAAGCACCAACCUAUUG